rnacentral:rRNA from 1 species
UACAGAGGGGGCAAGCGUUGUUCGGAAUUACUGGGCGUAAAGGGCGCGUAGGCGGCCUGCUAAGUCGAACGUGAAAUCCCCGAGCUCAACUCGGGAACUGCGUCCGAUACUGGUUGGCUUGAAUCCGGGAGAGGGAUGCGGAAUUCCAGGUGUAGCGGUGAAAUGUGUAGAUAUCUGGAGGAACACCGGUGGCGAAGGCGGCAUCCUGGACCGGCAUUGACGCUGAGGCGCGAAAGCCAGGGGAGCAAAGCGGGAU